rnacentral:misc_RNA from 1 species
GGGAGUAAAAGUCGUAACAAGGUUUCCGUAGGUGAACCUGCGGAAGGAUCAUUCAUAAUAAGUGUUUUAUGGCACUUUUUUAAAUCCAUAUCCACCUUGUGUGCAAUGUCAGGGUUGAUUUUUCUCUCGAGAGGAUCAACCCCAAACAUCAACUAUAUCUCAACUCUUUGUCUGAAAAAUAUUAUGAAUAAAACAAUUCAAAAUACAACUUUCAACAACGGAUCUCUUGGCUCUC